rnacentral:ncRNA from 1 species
GCAUUAGGUGCUCUAGUAAUAGAGAGAAUAGGGAAUAAAGUGCAAAACUUUAGCGGUCCCGCCACUGUAACAGCGAAUGGUCGUAAAGGAUGCCACUGAUUUUUUCGGGAAGGCUUACGACUAUCUUGACCUGAAGCCAGGAGACCUGCCUAACGCUG